AAAUUGAAGAGUUUGAUCAUGGCUCAGAUUGAACGCUGGCGGCAGGCCUAACACAUGCAAGUCGAGCGGUAGCACAGAGAGCUUGCUCUCGGGUGACGAGCGGCGGACGGGUGAGUAAUGUCUGGGAAACUGCCUGAUGGAGGGGGAUAACUACUGGAAACGGUAGCUAAUACCGCAUAAUGUCGCAAGACCAAAGUGGGGGACCUUCGGGCCUCAUGCCAUCAGAUGUGCCCAGAUGGGAUUAGCUAGUAGGUGGGGUAACGGCUCACCUAGGCGACGAUCCCUAGCUGGUCUGAGAGGAUGACCAGCCACACUGGAACUGAGACACGGUCCAGACUCCUACGGGAGGCAGCAGUGGGGAAUAUUGCACAAUGGGCGCAAGCCUGAUGCAGCCAUGCCGCGUGUGUGAAGAAGGCCUUCGGGUUGUAAAGCACUUUCAGCGGGGAGGAAGGCGUUAAGGUUAAUAACCUUGGCGAUUGACGUUACCCGCAGAAGAAGCACCGGCUAACUCCGUGCCAGCAGCCGCGGUAAUACGGAGGGUGCAAGCGUUAAUCGGAAUUACUGGGCGUAAAGCGCACGCAGGCGGUCUGUCAAGUCGGAUGUGAAAUCCCCGGGCUCAACCUGGGAACUGCAUUCGAAACUGGCAGGCUAGAGUCUUGUAGAGGGGGGUAGAAUUCCAGGUGUAGCGGUGAAAUGCGUAGAGAUCUGGAGGAAUACCGGUGGCGAAGGCGGCCCCCUGGACAAAGACUGACGCUCAGGUGCGAAAGCGUGGGGAGCAAACAGGAUUAGAUACCCUGGUAGUCCACGCCGUAAACGAUGUCGAUUUGGAGGUUGUGCCCUUGAGGCGUGGCUUCCGGAGCUAACGCGUUAAAUCGACCGCCUGGGGAGUACGGCCGCAAGGUUAAAACUCAAAUGAAUUGACGGGGGCCCGCACAAGCGGUGGAGCAUGUGGUUUAAUUCGAUGCAACGCGAAGAACCUUACCUGGUCUUGACAUCCACAGAACUUUCCAGAGAUGGAUUGGUGCCUUCGGGAACUGUGAGACAGGUGCUGCAUGGCUGUCGUCAGCUCGUGUUGUGAAAUGUUGGGUUAAGUCCCGCAACGAGCGCAACCC
rnacentral:rRNA from 1 species